CACGUCCAAAAUGGGAGGCACUGUGUGGCGGCUCGCUCAAAACAUGAACAUCUAUGCUCCUACGUAUCUUUGUCCCUGUUGGCGCUAAAGAGCUAGCUUCCGUGUUGAGACGUCACCACCGCCCUAUAUAUCUGAUGCGCGCUUUGAGCUAACAGGGACGAGCGUCGUCACUCGGCCAUUUUGCGUCGGGGCAUAUAGUCAAAGGAGCGUUUACUUUGAAAUGUAAUUGCUAAAUUUUCAACCCAAUUUUGAAAAAACUUACUUUUUUUCUUAAACGCCAGAGAGUCAAUUAAUUAAAUUUAUACUUAAAAUGAAUUCCAACGUGCUGUAAAAAUAUACAGCUCUAAUUAUAGCUAUGUUAACGCAGUUGUUAUAAACCAAAAUGUUUGGAAAGAAUUGUCAAGAAUUCAGCGAGUUAAGAGUAUUUGAGAGAAGGAAAUCACUCACCUUAUGUUCCCUCCAUAAAUGUCCUCCGACGCAAGAAGGCCGCCAGUUACUUACGCGACCUAUUCCGCCUUAUGACAUCUAGCCUUAUAAAUGUGAUAUCUAUUACUACUUCCAUAUAAACUCGCCGGCUAAGAAUAGUCAUUCAAUACUCACUUGUUGACAUUGAAACAGGACGAGAACGCGGGAAUCCGUGCACCUUGAUUGCCCUCGUUUACUCUGGCGGAGACGCAUUGAAAAAUAUGUCAGGCCAAGAAGUGACAAGCAACCUUCCUUCGCUCCCACCCUCCCCUGACGUCAGUAUCGGCCUGGAGCUUCGCUACAUGGGCGACCAGCUCUACUCCAUUUGCUGCCGCUUAAAGACCCCUACCAAGGACCAGAAGAGCCAGGUCAAGUCCAGCGGUACAUGAUGACGUGAUGUGGGGAUCCGCGGAGGAGGUACAAAGAAAAUGUGAGAAGCAAAGAGGCGCUACCUUGGAGGUCGAGGAUGUGCGAUUCCUGAUUGGAGGCUUUGCGGCGAAUCAUGAAGAUCGGUCAAAGCAGUGGCGGGCGACUUCGUGACCUAUACAUCUUGGCGAGAGGAUUUUCAUCCAGACUGCCGCAAUAGAAAUGUUAACCCACCUGUAAUAAUUCUUUUAUCCCCAAAAUUUGCAAAUAAAAUAUCAUACCUGUAAA